rnacentral:rRNA from 1 species
UACAGAGGGUGCGAGCGUUAAUCGGAAUUACUGGGCGUAAAGGGCGCGUAGGUGGAUGGGUGAGUGAGAUGUGAAAUACCCGAGCUUAACUUGGGGAGGUCAUCUCAUACUGCCUGUCUAGAGUAUGGGAGAGGGAAGUGGAAGUUCUGGUGUAGCGGUGAAAUGCGUAGAUAUCAGAAGGAAUAUCCGUGGCGAAGGCGACUUCCUGGCCCAAUACUGACACUGAGGCGCGAAAGCGUGGGGAGCAAACAGG